rnacentral:tRNA from 1 species
CGGCGGGCUACGGGGCGGCCGGGCCCCGGCCUGUUCGCGGUAGGUCCAGGUUCAGCGGGAUCCGGCCGAGGGCCAGAUGUUCACCGACCUCGUCGGC